UUGCCAUCUAGUCCUGAUUCCUGACUACAAGUCUUCAGGAUGACCAGGAACUACAGGACGGUUUGAGCUACACUCUCCAUGACCAGGACUGGACACCACUGUCCUAAAUAAACCUAAGGAGAGCCGCUCAGGCACAGGUCACUGCAUCUUUUGCUGUAUAAAAAAGCACACAAAAAGCGGCCAGGCCACAGCUUCCGAAGUGGAAACUCCUGUUAAAUCAUGGCUCCAUAAUGCAAGAAACCGGGAUGGUGGAAGGAGCAGAAGAACCAGAAGACUGGAGAUCAGGCAAAGAUCUACUGGUACCCGAGGGGAUUGAUCACUCAUCUCCAUCCACAAAUGAAUGAUUUCUGAAUGAUCAUGUGACACCACAACUGGAUGCAGGC